rnacentral:rRNA from 1 species
ACACCAGACUUGCCCUCCCCUUAUUCCCCCAGCGUUCUAGACUGGGUAAAAGCCUUCCUCAGCGGAUGGCACUCGGGAUAGCCCUGUCACACUUUCGUGUAUUGCAAAGUUUUCGCGA